rnacentral:lncRNA from 1 species
UUCUAUUUCCACAGAAAUAUCUCUUAUUAAAGAUCUGUCUGCAUUAUAGAGGCCUCCCUUUGAGAGCUCAUCUGCAAUAUCACCAUCUGAAAUGAGACACAACUAUUUAACAGAACUGACCUAUUCACAGGACUAAGACUGAUUCAAGAAGACAUGUGCUCUUCCUCAUUUGCGAGAUGCCAAACUACCUAUUCAGAGGGUUGGAGUGAGGAUUUCAUGAAGUCACAAAAGGCACAUGGUAAACAGUCAUUUAACAUUAGCUAUAUUUAACAUUCUUUGUGUUAGCACUAUCUUGGAGCUCUGUAUGGGGCAGUAGCAUCUAUCAAAGCCAGAUAGUUCUCUUCUUUUAAACCUAAUAUUAAAAAAGCACAAAUUCGGGCCAGGCACGGUGGCUCACGCCUAUAAUCCCAGCACUUUGGGAGGCCGAGGUGGGUGGAUCACGAGGUCAAGAGAUCGAGACCAUCCUGGUCAACACAGUGAAACCCCGUUUCUACUAAAAAUACAAAAAAAAUUAGCUGGGCAUGGUGGUGUGUGCCUGUAGUCCCAGCUACUCGGGAGGCUGAGGCAGGAAAAUAGCUUGAACCCAGGAGGCAGAGAUUGCGGUGAGCCGAGAUCGUGCCAUUGCACUC